rnacentral:tRNA from 1 species
GCCUUCGUAGCUCAACGCAGAGCGGCUGCCUCUCGUGCAGCGCGGUGCAGGUUCGAGCCCUGCCGAAGGCCCCA